CUGGUGCGGCCGGGUACGGGUAAGGAAUCAAAACCCGUUUGCGACCCGCAGCUGUAUGGAUAGUCCCAGCGCGGCUCGUCUGCCGGCGGCUCCGCAGGCUGUACUGACGCUACCGUCGCCGGCGCCUCCGGAACCGUGUGCGUGUGCAUCGGCCAGCGCCCGAUGCACACGCACACAGGUCUUCGCGAGGUGACACCGUGUCAGCAUUGCCAUGCUUUAGGCCCUUCCGAUGUAUGAUUUUGUAGAAAUACUCCUGCAAUUUUUCUAGCCAGCGCACCAACUGGCCCGACGGCUGAUCUAUGCGUAAGGAGUCCUGCAGGGUGGCGUGAUCGGUGGAAACUGUGAAUUUUCGGCCAUACAGGUGAGGUCUAUAUUGCUGCACAAAGUGCACGAUUGAUAGUGAUUCCUGGUGAGUUACGCAAUAACGCUGCUCAGCUGGCGAAAGAACGCGACUACCAUAGGCAAUGAUGACUUAGACCCCGUCCUUCACCUGAGAGAGGACAGCCCCUAUCCCCAGAACACCGGCGCCUGUGUCUGGGAUGAAGGGCAGGGAGAAGUCCGGGUAUACCAGGGGUGGAGCUUCUGUGGGACGAUCACGCAGCAUUAUGAAAGCAGUUUCCUCCUCAGCCCACCACUGAAACUUUUGGUUCUUCACCAUCAACGCGUGAAAGGGCCUCGCCAUUGUGGCAAAUUUCGGGACAAACCGAGAUAAUACGACGUGAAGCCAACAAAGCUACGUACAUCAUCGAUUUCGGGGUCGGCAUAUUCCGCACACACACCUUACGGGCUCACAACGUGGUCCAAAAAUCAUGCGGACGAUUGAAUCAGGUGACAUAUGGUUUCAAUUUCAGGUUGGCUGUGUGCACUCUGGAUAAUACCGCGUGGAGUCGCUGGAAAUGCCCAUCAAAUGUGAGACCGAGGGCGAUGACAUCAUCCAGAUAAAUAAGGCAAAGAGUCCCUUUGCAAUCCUGCAAGAACCAACUCCAUCAACUUUUGAAACGUAGCAGACGCUGUCUAAAGUCCCAUCGGGAGAAAGUUAAAAUGGUACAAUCCUUGAGGUGUACGAAACGCGGUCUUAGCCUUUGAGGACUCGUCCAAGGGCAGUUGCCAAAAUCCCAACAAGUUCAACGUGGGGAAAAAUGCUCAAGAAAAGGCGUCUAAGGAAUCAUAAAUCCAUGGGAGCGGGCGUGCGUCAGCUAGUGUAACCUUGUUAAGGCGACGAAAAUGCAUGCAAAAACGCAGACUUCCAUUAGACUUUUUAACUAACACAGCAGGAGCCCCCCAAGCGAUAGUGGACUGAGAAAUGGUCUUCGCGGCGAGCAUGUUGUGCACUGCCUUUUGCACGUAUUGUUUUUAUACUAACUCUUUAACCAGCUCCAUCCGGUGAGGUCUGCCGUGUCAUAGCCGCCGCAACUGCUGCUCAGCCGAGCGUCCCUGGCUCCCCGGUCCCCGCGGCAGUCAGCGGGAUGGCUCCACCGACCAAUGUUCUGGCCGUCCGCUGUCCUCACGGCACCGCAAGUGUCUCCUGCGAUCAUCCUGACGGGCAAAGUUCUUCUCGCCCCGUCCGCCGCUGCAAGACCCAUCAUCGUCUCUGAAGCUCCCGGUCUCCACUCCUUCUCGGCGAGCUGUGACACGAGCCCAGAGGCUGCAUCCACGAGGCGGUUGAAGCGUCCCUCCAGCCUCUCCUAACUCUCGGUCACCAGCGGCGCUGGGGUGAGAGGCUUAUAGAGCCUCAAUCUGGUUUUAGGACGAGUUGGGUCGGCACAGACGCCAUCGUCUCUGUCAUUCUGCUACAGGAGAGGUGUAGCGAAUGCAAGAAGACCUCCACCUAUGCUUUAUUGACCUGGUGUGUGUGUGUAGGUGUGUGUCUGUCUAAACAGGUAACCACGUGGUGGAGGAGAGAGCGCGCGCUGGGGUGAAGAGGGUUCGUGCCCAGCCAGCCCCUCCCCUCCCCCGCGGCCCCUCCCUUCUCCCCCAGCUAGGCCCCUCUGGCGUCUUACUUGGACCUGUGGGCAAGGCACGGAGCCACCUGAGGGAUCCAGAGGGCGGAGCCUGGGCGAGGGCGGAGCCUGCCACGCUGGGCAGGAUAAAAGGCGGAGCUCCAACUCACAGUCGGGGCUGCUGCGAUCUGGAGUGGAACUCGUCGUUAUCUUCGUCGUCGCGAUCGUCACCGUCGCGAUCUUCGCCCUCUUGAAGCUGUGGGUCUGUCAGCAUGUUGGCUGUCCCGAUCUGGUGUGUGGUUAUCCCCUAAGGCUGUGAAGGCCGGAAUAAAAGAGAGAAAGUACCUCCUACUAGUGUCUGUGAUUUAGCACACUACAUUAUCAUCGUCUUCGCGAUCAUCACUACUAUCAUAUAUACAAUCGACAUCGUCACGA